AUCAUCACUUCAUCACCAUCUCAUCUUAUCAUCUUCUUCAACCUCCUCUUCCAUUCUUAAGAUGGGUUCUAGGUAGAACUCUAAAUUUAGAUUUUAGGGUUGAUAAAUCAUAGAAUUGAUAGUAAGAUAAAUGAUAUUGUGAUGAAUUUCUCCAUGAAUCACGUGAAUCUUCAUUAAUGAUGCUUCUAUGUGUGUUCUUGUAGUUGUU
rnacentral:lncRNA from 1 species